GAUGAACGCUGGCGGCGUGCCUAAUACAUGCAAGUCGAGCGAACGGACGAGAAGCUUGCUUUUCUGAUGUUAGCGGCGGACGGGUGAGUAACACGUGGAUAACCUACCUAUAAGACUGGGAUAACUUCGGGAAGCCGGAGCUAAUACCGGAUAAUAUUUUGAACCGCAUGGUUCAAAAGUGAAAGACGGUCUUGCUGUCACUUAUAGAUGGAUCCGCGCUGCAUUAGCUAGUUGGUAAGGUAACGGCUUACCAAGGCAACGAUGCAUAGCCGACCUGAGAGGGUGAUCAGCCACACUGGAACUGAGACACGGUCCAGACUCCUACGGGAGGCAGCAGUAGGGAAUCUUCCGCAAUGGGCGAAAGCCUGACGGAGCAACGCCGCGUGAGUGAUGAAGGUCUUCGGAUCGUAAAGCUCUGUUAUUAGGGAAGAACAUAUGUGGAAGUAACUGUGCACAUCUUGACGGUACCUAAUCAGAAAGCCACGGCUAACUACGUG
rnacentral:rRNA from 1 species